rnacentral:rRNA from 1 species
UACGUAGGGGGCAAGCGUUGUCCGGAUUUAUUGGGCGUAAAGAGCGUGUAGGCGGUUUGGUAGGUCCGUUGUGAAAACUCGAGGCUCAACCUCGAGACGCCGAUGGAAACCAUCAGACUAGAGUCCGGAAGAGGCGAGUGGAAUUCCUGGUGUAGCGGUGAAAUGCGCAGAUAUCAGGAGGAACACCGAUGGCGAAGGCAGCUCGCUGGGACGGUACUGACGCUGAGGCGCGAAAGCGUGGGGAGCAAACAGG